GCUCCUCCGGCCAAAAGGGAAGAGAUGAAAAGGUCCCGGGGCUGGCAGCUGGCGAACUGACGGGAGGGGCGCCGGGAGCGCGGUGAGGGGGGCCGCCGAGGCUGACCUGGGCUGAAAUUUAUAUAUUUAAAGAAGGAGCGGUUCGGUCCUGCCUUCCACUGCGGCGCUGAGAGCAGGAGCAGCAGCAGCUCCGGAGCAGAGAAGCGCACACGUGUGAGCUUCUGGAGCUCCGCUCGGAGCGAACCUUCUGCUGCCAGCAGAUAACAUCACGAUCUUGCCGGGGAGGGGAGAUUUAUAAGUUCUCUCUGAACCACGUGUCUGCCUUCAACAAAGUGACGUGCUAGGAUUACAGUCAGAAGUCCUCUCGUUACUUAGACCACGAGCUCUCCCCGAACCGUUGAGGGAGUGUGGAAAUGAGGACCGCUGUGGUUACUCAAAGUCAACAUUUUCAUUUCGGCAUGACUCUGCAGCCAUACUGACCAGACAGAUGAUUUAAACUGGAAACUCUGUUGAAUGUACUCCCAAACCCAAGAUCUCUAUACUGUUCUCUACUUCAGAUGUUCCUGAGUUCAGAAAAGUCACAAAGAACUUUCUAUCACUUUUGGAAUUUAUACUUCAGUUGUGUAUGGGGCCUAGGUUAUUAGUAGAGCACUGAAUAAAUAAAAUAAUAAUAGCUAACAUAUACUACACUUAGUAAUUUGAUGUGUGUUGUGUAUGGUCAUUUAAUCUUCA
rnacentral:lncRNA from 1 species